AUUGUGCAGAAAAUGUUCAUGUGGCAAGGAACUUAGGUGGCUUCUAGGGACUUCAGGAGGCCUCCAGUUGCUAAGGAGGGGGAUUGUAGCUGACAAGCAGAAAGAAGGCUAAGAUUGCAGACUCACAACCAGGAAAUGAAUUCUGCAAGCAACAUGAAUGAACUUGGAACAGGACAUCAGAAAAGCGAGAACUCUUCAGAGGAGUAGCUCCAGAAGUCUGCAUUGAGAUUCACUAGGAGUACGUGAUCCAGAUGAGAUUGCCCAUGUACAAGUACCGCCUUAUGUUUCUUUGGAAUGAAAAAUUCAACCUUUCCCUGCUGUCAGUCAUGUGGUCCCAGCUCCAAGAGCCCCCUAAUUGGAAUAAACCAAUAAGAGGUUGUCUUAAAAUGGACCGGUAACCAACCAGAGCCAAUGAGAUGUGUUGACCCAAGGACUUGAAUUAAUGAAUAUGGUUCUACAUACUACUAUCCUGCCCAGUUAACUUCACAUUGUUGGUGACAGAAAGCACAGAAGACAAGAAGCAAAACCUUCAAGACUGUCAUGCCCAUGGAUAUUAAACAGACCUCUUUUCCCCCACCUUCAUUACUAUUAAUUUUUUCCCUUUAACUCACAAAUAAAUUCU